CCCCACUGGGAAAGCUUACUCACACAUUGUGGGUAUUACAAAGGUUUAAUAAAUAUCCCUUUAAGACCUAAACCUGGCCGCCGUCUCGGAUAUUUACGCGGUCAAAGCAGAGGAUUUGUUUUGGCUGGAAAAGCGUACAGGCGCCGCGGAAACUAUGCUCUACCAGUCAUGUAUUGGUAGAGCUCGCAUGGAAACGCGGCCCUCAAAGGAACAUGCGCGAUGCGCGUGUGUAUGGUCACCUAAUUCUGAGGAGCUCAAGGGGAAAAGAAGGGACAGGCCAAAAAGGCAAACAACGAGGACAAAUAAGGCUCUCGAGUCUAACUCCGGAUAAAUUCACAAACAGGGAAGUAAAUAUCAAUAUAUAUAAUCAAGGUACACGUGUAUUCAAAUUUUCCUAAAUUUCAGCCACUGUUGGGCCGGGCCUGGAGGCGAUGAUAGCCCGGGCUGAUGACUUCCAGCCGGAGGCCAGCAGCGAUACAGGUCUCCAGGAAAGAAAACUGGCGCUCUCCGGUGAGUUAUGCAAGGGCAGUCUGAGGUUCGGCCGCCCGACAAAAUGGCGGUACCUCUCAACGCCGCGAUGCGACGGCUGGAAGUCCCCGAGAUGAGGUGGACGCGGUACACCGGAACGGACUCACCGGGAAAUGUUUGAUGUCGUCGGCGUCGACUGCGAAGACUGCUUUUCUGGGUGGUCGUCGGUACGGGUCGAACGGCCACCGGUUGCUGGGCAGCCAAGUCGGGCUGGUAGGUAUGGCGAAGUCGCGCAAAUGUCAGUAGAACUCCAAAUAAAUAUUCCGGGGCCCUUUGUGUUGGGACCCCGGCUGCCUUUAUAAAUGAUAAAUAUUAAAUACCG